CACGAGUUGUAGAGUGUAGGCGGGAGUCUUUGUGGAGCACGGUGUCCAAGUCCCUUGGAACAGGGCGCCUGAGAGGGUGAGAGCCCCGUGGGGUGCCGUGCGAAGCUCUGAGGCCCUGCUGACGAGUCGAGUUGUUUGGGAAUGCAGCUCCAAGUGGGUGGUAAAUUCCAUCUAAGGCUAAAUACUGGCGAGAGACCGAUAGCGAACAAGUACUGUGAAGGAAAGAUGAAAAGCACUUUGAAAAGAGAGUGAAACAGCACGUGAAAUUGUUGAAAGGGAAGGGUAUUGGGCCCGACAUGGGGAGUGCGCACCGCUGUCUCUUGUAGGCGGCGCUCUGGGCGCUCUCUGGGCCAGCAUCGGUUCUUGCUGCGGGAGAAUGGGUGCCGGAAAGUGGCUCUUCGGAGUGUUAUAGCCGGCGCCAGAUACCGCGUGCGGGGACCGAGGACUGCGGCUUCUGUCUCGGAUGCUGGCACAACGGCGCAAUACCGCCCGUCUUGAAACAUGGACCAAGGAGUCUAACGUCUAUGCGAGUGUUUGGGUGUAAAACCCGUACGCGUAAUGAAAGUGAACGUAGGUCGGACCCCUUCGGGGGGCACGAUCGACCGAUCC
rnacentral:rRNA from 1 species